AUGUUCGCGCUGCAGAUUCUGGCAAAGAAGGGCGUGCUGAUCCUACCGAACAUCGUGGCCAACUCCGGCGGAGUGAUGGUGGGCUACUUCGAGUGGGUGCAGAACAUCCAGGGGUUCAUGUGGGACGAGGAGAAGGUGAAUCGGGAGCUCAAGACAGGGGUACUAAAUAUGAGCUUCUAUCUACAAACUUUUGUCCGCGAUCUAUUUGUGACGACUUCUCUCAAGCAAUCUGGAGCUCCUUUAUCUUCUCUUGUUGUGCAACAUCCUUCUUAUCAUGUUCUUGCGCCUUCCCUUCCAUCUCUUCUAACCACCCAUCCUGAAAUUGCACAGUUUUUUAAAUCAAAAAUUGCAUUGUGUUGCUCCACGCCUCCACCGCCAGCACAAGGUGUGAGGAGGGAAGGACGGGAGGAAGAGAUGAGGGCAGGGGAAGAUAUACCUCUGUUCGUCCAUCAUUACGACCAAGCGCAGCCGGGACCUCCAAGACCCUCGCGCCGGCGUCGUCCCCUCCAGAACCUCACGGCGGCGGCGGCGGGGACGUACAUGGGCGAGCGGCCACUACGACCACGACCAGCCUGGGCUUCGCCUCCUGGACCUCGCAUCGGCGUCUUCGCCUCCAGGUCCUCGCGCCGGCGUCAUGGCCAAGGUCCUCACUCCUGCGCUGCCGUCUCUCAGGUCCUCGCGCCGGCUCCCCCUCUCGCGAGAUGGGUUAGCCAGAUGCGGGGGUUUGACCAGCAGAGGUCAUUCAGUAGCUUGAGCAUAGUUGAGCUGUCCGGCAACAACCUUGUUGGACUUAUACCGCCAGGGCUUUGUAAUUUGACGCGUUUAACAAUCCUUGAUCUCAGCCAGAAUCAACUCAGCGGGAAUGUACCAACUAAAAUUGGUGCCCUUGCUUCCCUGACUUAUUUGAACAUAAGAAGCAACAACCUUACAGGAAGUUUACCGGCCGAGCUUGGAAAACUGAAGCAUUUGGCUUACCUUUAUCUCACAGAUAACAGAAUUAAUGGAGGUAUACCCACUGCAUUGGGUUCUCUGGAGGAUCUGGUUAAUCUGGACCUAAGCAACAACGACCUUAGUGGUUUGAUCAAGGAAGAACACUUUGCAAAUCUAAAAAGUUUGAAGUUCAUAGACUUGUCUUCCAAUAAUUUGAAGAUUGUAGUGGAUUCGGAUUGGCGUUUUCCCUUUAGGCUACAGUAUGCAGAUUUUUCAUCUUGCCAAAUGGGUCCUCUCUUUCCAGCUUGGCUUCGGCAGCUGCAGGGAAUCGAUUCACUUAACAUUUUGAGCACCGGUUUAGAGGACAAGUUUCCUGAUUGGUAUACAUUUUCAAUGACAACACAUCUUGACAUCUCUGACAACCAAAUAAGUGGUAGCUUGCCAGCACAUCUGGAUGGCAUGGCCAUGGAAGAACUUUUUCUCGGUUCAAACCGGCUCACCUUUUGUGUUGACAUAACAAGGCUUAGGAAUCUUCAGUACUUGGAUCUAUCAGGCAAUAGUUUCUCUGGUGCAAUACCUUGGCAUCUACCAAACCUAACAAUUAUGACAGAAUUACAAAAUGAAUACAUGGAUGAAGGCAACUCCUUGACUGGUGAAAUCCCUACAGACAUCACUUCCCUUGCUGCACUAAUGAAUUUGAAUUUAUCAUCCAACAAAUUGAGUGGACAAAUUCCAGACAUGAUUGGCACCAUGCAGUCACUGGUAUCUCUUGACCUCUCUCAGAGCAAGCUCUCUGGUGAAAUCCCGUCGAGCCUGUCAAGCCUGGCAUCUUUGGCCGCCUUGAACUUGUCCUACAAUAAUCUGUGUGGAAGGAUACCCUCUAGCCGCCAACUUGACACCCUUAACACGGACAACCCAUCACUUAUGUACAUCGGCAACGGUGGACUUUGUGGGCCUCCUCUCCACAACAAUUGUCCAGGAAACGAUUCUUCCAUCAUCCAUGGCGAUCUCGGAAGCAUCAAGCAAGAGUUUGACCCACUGACCUUUUACUUUGGCCUUGUGCUGGGACUUGUGGUGGGACUCUGGAUGGUCUUUUGUGCACUCUUGUUCAAGAGGACAUGGAGAAUUGCUUAUUUCCGACUCUUUGAUGAGGCGUAUGACCAACUCUAUGUAUUAAUGGUCGUGAAAUGGGGAAGAUCAGGCGCGCCCUCCCAAUCUAUGAAACAUAAGAGAAGUAGAACAGUCUCUACCUUAUAUAACGUCGAUAGGGAAACACCGGCUCUGACAUGCUGUGGGCCGUCCUUGGAGGAUUUGUGUGCUACUUCCAAGCACGGCGCUUCGUGUAUAGAAGUUCACAGACCAAGCCUCCAUGGUUUCAUGAGAUAUCCCGACAAGAUGACCACUGUUGUUGAAUAUUGGGUAGUGCCGGCGGCGUCCAGCACUCUGCACGUCCAUCUCCAUGCUGCUGCUUCUUCCCCAACAAACUCCACUCCCCUGGAGGCUCACGGCAGCUGCAUGGAGCCCCUGAUGGUCUCUGAAAAAUCAUGUGGGUUCUUCAUCUGGAAUAAAUCUAUCAUGGAAACUCUUGCAAAACUUCAGUUUAUAAUCCUGUACUCUGCUAUGUACUCCCUUUCUCAAGAGAGACGAGCUUGUCAGCAUCAGGCCCGUCAGUGCAUGGCUAUGGAGUUUCAGAUCGAACAAUUCAUAUUUCAGUUCCUGGGCUUGCAAAUCUCAGCCCCAGAAGCUCAGGGAGCAAAUUUUCAGGGAAAGGACCAGUUGGGCCUUGAUUCCCCCAUGGUUAGAAACAGAACUGGAUCCCAAGUUGGUUUCCACGGCGACGACUCGACCAUGCCGGCCAAGAACGCCUCUCAUAGGAAGAGCAUGGGUUGA
rnacentral:rRNA from 1 species